rnacentral:rRNA from 1 species
UACGGAGGGUGCAAGCGUUAUCCGGAUUCACUGGGUUUAAAGGGUGCGUAGGUGGUCUUGUAAGUCAGUGGUGAAAUACCGCAGCUCAACUGCGGAACUGCCAUUGAUACUGCUUGACUUGAAUUAGGUUGAGGUGGAUGGAAUAUUACAUGUAGCGGUGAAAUGCUUAGAUAUGUAAUAGAACACCGAUUGCGAAGGCAGUUCACUAAACCUAUAUUGACACUGAGGCACGAAAGCGUGGGGAUCAAACAGGAUUAGAUACCCUGGUAGUCCACGCCCUAAACGAUGUAUACUCGACAUACGCGAUAUACUGUGUGUGUCUAAGCGAAAGCGUUAAGUAUACCACCUGGGAAGUACGUCCGCAAGGAUG